rnacentral:rRNA from 1 species
AAGCGGCAACAGCUCAAAUUUGAAAUCUGGCUCUUUCAGGGUCCGAGUUGUAAUUUGCAGAGGGUGCUUUGGUGUUGGCGGCGGUCUAAGUUCCUUGGAACAGGACAUCGCAGAGGGUGAGAAUCCCGUAUGUGGUCGCCUGCCUUCGCCGUGUAAAGCCCCUUCGACGAGUCGAGUUGUUUGGGAAUGCAGCUCUAAAUGGGAGGUAAAUUUCUUCUAAAGCUAAAUACCGGCCAGAGACCGAUAGCGCACAAGUAGAGUGAUCGAAAGAUGAAAAGCACUUUGGAAAGAGAGUCAAACAGCACGUGAAAUUGUUAAAAGGGAAGCGCUUGCAGCCAGACUUGCCUGCAGUUGUUCGCCUGGGCUUUUGCCCGGGUUACUCUUCUGCAGGCAGGCCAGCAUCAGUUUGGGCGGUCGGAUAAAGGUCCCUGACACGUAUCUCCCUUCGGGGUUAACAUAUAGGGGGGACGUAAUGCGACCAGCCCGGACUGAGGUCCGCGCAUCUGCUAGGAUGCUGGCGUAAUGGCUGUAAGCGGCCCGUCUUGAAACACGGACCAAGGAGUCUAACAUCUAUGCGAGUGUUUGGGUGUCAAGCCCGAGCGCGUAAUGAAAGUGAACGGAGGUGGGAACCCCUCGGGGCGCACCAUCGACCGAUCCUGAUGUCUUCGGAUGGAUUUGAGUAAGAGCAUAGCUGUUGGGACCCGAAAGAUGGUGAACUAUGCUUGAAUAGGGUGAAGCCAGAGGAAACUCUGGUGGAGGCUCGCAGCGGUUCUGACGUGCAAAUCGAUCGUCAAAUUUGGGCAUAGGGGCGAAAGACUAAUC